rnacentral:rRNA from 1 species
ACGAACGCUGGCGGCGUGCCUAAUACAUGCAAGUAGAACGCUGAAGAGAGGAGCUUGCUCUUCUUGGAUGAGUUGCGAACGGGUGAGUAACGCGUAGGUAACCUGCCUUGUAGCGGGGGAUAACUAUUGGAAACGAUAGCUAAUACCGCAUAACAAUGGAUGACACAUGUCAUUUAUUUGAAAGGGGCAAUUGCUCCACUACAAGAUGGACCUGCGUUGUAUUAGCUAGUAGGUGAGGUAAUGGCUCACCUAGGCGACGAUACAUAGCCGACCUGAGAGGGUGAUCGGCCACACUGGGACUGAGACACGGCCCAGACUCCUACGGGAGGCAGCAGUAGGGAAUCUUCGGCAAUGGGGGCAACCCUGACCGAGCAACGCCGCGUGAGUGAAGAAGGUUUUCGGAUCGUAAAGCUCUGUUGUAAGUCAAGAACGGGUGUGAGAGUGGAAAGUUCACACUGUGACGGUAGCUUACCAGAAAGGGACGGCUAACUACGUGCCAGCAGCCGCGGUAAUACGUAGGUCCCGAGCGUUGUCCGGAUUUAUUGGGCGUAAAGCGAGCGCAGGCGGUUUGAUAAGUCUGAAGUUAAAGGCUGUGGCUCAACCAUAGUUCGCUUUGGAAACUGUCAAACUUGAGUGCAGAAGGGGAGAGUGGAAUUCCAUGUGUAGCGGUGAAAUGCGUAGAUAUAUGGAGGAACACCGGUGGCGAAAGCGGCUCUCUGGUCUGUAACUGACGCUGAGGCUCGAAAGCGUGGGGAGCGAACAGGAUUAGAUACCCUGGUAGUCCACGCCGUAAACGAUGAGUGCUAGGUGUUGGAUCCUUUCCGGGAUUCAGUGCCGCAGCUAACGCAUUAAGCACUCCGCCUGGGGAGUGCGACCGCAAGGUUGAAACUCAAAGGAAUUGACGGGGGCCCGCACAAGCGGUGGAGCAUGUGGUUUAAUUCGAAGCAACGCGAAGAACCUUACCAGGUCUUGACAUCCCGAUGCUAUUUCUAGAGAUAGAAAGUUACUUCGGUACAUCGGUGACAGGUGGUGCAUGGUUGUCGUCAGCUCGUGUCGUGAGAUGUUGGGUUAAGUCCCGCAACGAGCGCAACCCCUAUUGUUAGUUGCCAUCAUUCAGUUGGGCACUCUAGCGAGACUGCCGGUAAUAAACCGGAGGAAGGUGGGGAUGACGUCAAAUCAUCAUGCCCCUUAUGACCUGGGCUACACACGUGCUACAAUGGUUGGUACAACGAGUUGCGAGUCGGUGACGGCGAGCUAAUCUCUUAAAGCCAAUCUCAGUUCGGAUUGUAGGCUGCAACUCGCCUACAUGAAGUCGGAAUCGCUAGUAAUCGCGGAUCAGCACGCCGCGGUGAAUACGUUCCCGGGCCUUGUACACACCGCCCGUCACACCACGAGAGUUUGUAACACCCGAAGUCGGUGAGGUAACCUUUUGGAGCCAGCCGCCUAAGGUGGGACAGAUGAUUGGGGUG